rnacentral:lncRNA from 1 species
AACUACACGCCAAUACAUUUUUUAAAAGAAGACUUAAAUGUGUUAUUUUUAAUAGCAUGCCCUAGGAAAAAUGCAGAUUUGUGAAACCUUGUUGCCUAAAAGGAAAGAAGAAAAGGAAGCCGGUGUUUCAAAAACUCAGACAUAUUAGAAUAUGGCAUUGAGUAAGCUGUUGUCUUGUUUGGGGGAAGGUGGACCAUCUGAAGAGGGCUUUAGGGACAGUUCUAGUCAUUGACCUUGGGAGAAGCAGGGUAGGAACAGUGCUGCUGCGGAAGCUGAGAGAGCAGUUCUGUGUCCAGUGGAGCACAGUGAACUCCUGGGUGGCACCUGUGUUACAAAACUCCAUUUUAUGGAGUUCCCUGGUGGCACAGCAGGUGAAGAAUUUGACCUUGGUAGUGCUGCAGCUCAGGUCACUGGUGUGGCAUGGGUUCCACCUCUGGCCUGGGAACUUCCGUAUGCCGGGGACACGGCCGAAAAAAAAAAAAAAAUCAAAACCAAAAAACCCUCUACUUGAGCUCUUUCAUCUGCAAUACAGUAGUAUCUAUUGCAUAGGAUGUUUGAAGAUAGAAUGGUUUAAUUUAGAAAAUGAAUGGUGACAAUUACUAUAGAAGCACCAGAAAGCCUGCUUGUUCUGGUGGAAUCAUGCAUGUCCUACAUGGUGUCUAGAAUAAAGGAGAUUCUUAAGAUGGAUAUAAAUUGGAUAAAUGAAAUGCCCAGAUAUCAGGGGUAUACAUGAGACAGGAUAGCUGUGAGUUGGAAAUGGUUGAGGCUCAGUAGUAGGUACGUGGAGAUUUGUUAUACUAUUUUCUGUGCUGUUGUGUAUCUUUGAAAUUUUCCUUACUAAAAACGCUUUUUUAAAAGAAUGUUGUAGCUCAGCGGGUUAACCCAGCUAGUAUCCAUGAGGAUGCAGGUUCAAUCCCUGGCCUCGUUCAGUGGGGGUUAAGGAUCUGGUGUUGCCUGAGCUGUGGUGUAGGUCACAGAUGUGGCUUGGAUCCUGUAUUGCUGUGGCUGUGGCCUAGGCCAGCAGCCGCAGCUCUGAUUGAGCCCUUAGCUUGGGAACCUCCAUAUGCCUCAGGUGCAGCC